GACGAACGCUGGCGGCGUGCUUAACACAUGCAAGUCGAACGGAAAGGCCCUGCUUUUGUGUGGUGCUCGAGUGGCGAACGGGUGAGUAACACGUGAGUAACCUGCCCUUGACUUUGGGAUAACUUCAGGAAACUGGGGCUAAUACCGGAUAUGAGCUCCUGCUGCAUGUUGUGGGUUGGAAAGUUUCGGCGGUUGGGGCUGUACUCGCGGCUUAUCAGCUUGUUGGGGAGGUAGUGGCUUACCAAGGCUUUGACGGGUAGCCGGCCUGAGAGGGUGACCGGCCACAUUGCGACUGAGAUACGGCCCAGACUCCUAUGGGAGGCAGCAGUGGGGAAUAUUGCACAGUGGGCGGAAGCCAGAUGCAGCAACGCCGCGUGCGGGAUGCCGGCCUUCGGGUUGUAAACCGAUUUCGACUGUGACGAAGCGUGAGUGACGGUAAUGGGUAAAGAAGCACCGGCUAACUACGUG
rnacentral:rRNA from 1 species